UCAAGUGAAGAAGCGCAUACGGUGGAUGCCUUGGCAGUCAGAGGCGAUGAAAGACGUGGUAGCCUGCGAAAAGCUUCGGGGAGUCGGCAAACAGACUUUGAUCCGGAGAUGUCUGAAUGGGGGAACCCAGCCAUCAUAAGAUGGUUAUCUUGUACUGAAUACAUAGGUGCAAGAGGCGAACCAGGGGAACUGAAACAUCUAAGUACCCUGAGGAAAAGAAAUCAACCGAGAUUCCCUUAGUAGUGGCGAGCGAACGGGGACUAGCCCUUAAGUGGCUUUGAGAUUAGCGGAACGCUCUGGAAAGUGCGGCCAUAGUGGGUGAUAGCCCUGUACGCGAAAAUCUCUUGGUCAUGAAAUCGAGUAGGACGGGGCACGAGAAACCUUGUCUGAAUAUGGGGGACCAUCCUCCAAGGCUAAAUACUACUGACUGACCGAUAGUGAACUAGUACCGUGAGGGAAAGGCGAAAAGAACCCCGGAGAGGGGAGUGAAAUAGAUCCUGAAACCGUAUGCGUACAAGCAGUGGGAGCCCACUUUGUUGGGUGACUGCGUACCUUUUGUAUAAUGGGUCAGCGACUUAUUUUCAGUGGCGAGCUUAACCGAAUAGGGGAGGCGUAGCGAAAGCGAGUCUUAAUAGGGCGUCUAGUCGCUGGGAAUAGACCCGAAACCGGGCGAUCUAUCCAUGGGCAGGUUGAAGGUUAGGUAACACUGACUGGAGGACCGAACCGACUACCGUUGAAAAGUUAGCGGAUGACCUGUGGAUCGGAGUGAAAGGCUAAUCAAGCUCGGAGAUAGCUGGUUCUCCUCGAAAGCUAUUUAGGUAGCGCCUCAUGUAUCACUGUAGGGGGUAGAGCACUGUUUCGGCUAGGGGGUCAUCCCGACUUACCAAACCGAUGCAAACUCCGAAUACCUACAAGUGCCGAGCAUGGGAGACACACGGCGGGUGCUAACGUCCGUCGUGAAAAGGGAAACAACCCAGACCGUCAGCUAAGGUCCCAAAGUCAUGGUUAAGUGGGAAACGAUGUGGGAAGGCUUAGACAGCUAGGAGGUUGGCUUAGAAGCAGCCACCCUUUAAAGAAAGCGUAAUAGCUCACUAGUCGAGUCGGCCUGCGCGGAAGAUGUAACGGGGCUCAAACCGUGCACCGAAGCUACGGGUAUCACUUAGGUGAUGCGGUAGAGGAGCGUUCUGUAAGCCUGUGAAGGUGAGUUGAGAAGCUUGCUGGAGGUAUCAGAAGUGCGAAUGCUGACAUGAGUAACGACAAUGGGUGUGAAAAACACCCACGCCGAAAGACCAAGGUUUCCUGCGCAACGUUAAUCGACGCAGGGUUAGUCGGUCCCUAAGGCGAGGCUGAAAAGCGUAGUCGAUGGAAAACAGGUUAAUAUUCCUGUACUUCUGGUUAUUGCGAUGGAGGGACGGAGAAGGCUAGGCCAGCUUGGCGUUGGUUGUCCAAGUUUAAGGUGGUAGGCUGAGAUCUUAGGUAAAUCCGGGAUCUUAAGGCCGAGAGCUGAUGACGAGUGUUCUUUUAGAACACGAAGUGGUUGAUGCCAUGCUUCCAAGAAAAGCUUCUAAGCUUCAGGUAACCAGGAACCGUACCCCAAACCGACACAGGUGGUUGGGUAGAGAAUACCAAGGCGCUUGAGAGAACUCGGGUGAAGGAACUAGGCAAAAUGGCACCGUAACUUCGGGAGAAGGUGCGCCGGUGAGGGUGAAGGACUUGCUCCGUAAGCUCAUGCCGGUCGAAGAUACCAGGCCGCUGCGACUGUUUAUUAAAAACACAGCACUCUGCAAACACGAAAGUGGACGUAUAGGGUGUGACGCCUGCCCGGUGCCGGAAGGUUAAUUGAUGGGGUUAGCUAACGCGAAGCUCUUGAUCGAAGCCCCGGUAAACGGCGGCCGUAACUAUAACGGUCCUAAGGUAGCGAAAUUCCUUGUCGGGUAAGUUCCGACCUGCACGAAUGGCGUAACGAUGGCGGCGCUGUCUCCACCCGAGACUCAGUGAAAUUGAAAUCGCUGUGAAGAUGCAGUGUAUCCGCGGCUAGACGGAAAGACCCCGUGAACCUUUACUAUAGCUUUGCACUGGACUUUGAAUUUGCUUGUGUAGGAUAGGUGGGAGGCUUUGAAGCGUGGACGCCAGUUCGCGUGGAGCCAUCCUUGAAAUACCACCCUGGCAACUUUGAGGUUCUAACUCAGGUCCGUUAUCCGGAUCGAGGACAGUGUAUGGUGGGUAGUUUGACUGGGGCGGUCUCCUCCUAAAGAGUAACGGAGGAGUACGAAGGUGCGCUCAGACCGGUCGGAAAUCGGUCGUAGAGUAUAAAGGCAAAAGCGCGCUUGACUGCGAGACAGACACGUCGAGCAGGUACGAAAGUAGGUCUUAGUGAUCCGGUGGUUCUGUAUGGAAGGGCCAUCGCUCAACGGAUAAAAGGUACUCCGGGGAUAACAGGCUGAUACCGCCCAAGAGUUCAUAUCGACGGCGGUGUUUGGCACCUCGAUGUCGGCUCAUCACAUCCUGGGGCUGAAGCCGGUCCCAAGGGUAUGGCUGUUCGCCAUUUAAAGUGGUACGCGAGCUGGGUUUAGAACGUCGUGAGACAGUUCGGUCCCUAUCUGCCGUGGACGUUUGAGAUUUGAGAGGGGCUGCUCCUAGUACGAGAGGACCGGAGUGGACGAACCUCUGGUGUUCCGGUUGUCACGCCAGUGGCAUUGCCGGGUAGCUAUGUUCGGAAAAGAUAACCGCUGAAAGCAUCUAAGCGGGAAACUUGCCUCAAGAUGAGAUCUCACUGGAACCUUGAGUUCCCUGAAGGGCCGUCGAAGACUACGACGUUGAUAGGCAGGGUGUGUAAGCGCUGUGAGGCGUUGAGCUAACCUGUACUAAUUGCCCGUGAGGCUUGACCA
rnacentral:rRNA from 1 species